rnacentral:lncRNA from 1 species
GCCCGCUUCUCCCCUUCCAGCCGCCCCCCCCCACAAAGAUGGGCCCCCCGGGGAGGCCGCGGGGCUGGCGCCCCCAGAGGAGAGGCCCUGGCCCGGGUCCCGCCUGCCUCUGCCCUCGCCGAGCGAGCCGGAGAAUGCCAGGAAGCCGCGCAGAUUGAUUUCUUCUUUGCGGAAAGCGACUGGAGAGCGAACCUGUUUGUCAGGUAGAACAGAGGGGCUGCGGCAAGGACGUAGCUCGUGCCCGGGUAAGGGGGCGUCUGUCAGAGGGACCCUGUCGUGUCAUCUGCGCCAUUGCCCUAACACCCGGGAGGUCUUCAAUAUUCGCUGUCACUACGGAUAGGGCACACACGUGAGUGAAGACCCCAGAAAGACACGUGCACCCCCAAACCCCGCCUUGCCUCAGGGGCCUCCGGCAGAAGAGAUGCUCUCUCACCUGGGACCUUGCAGCAGGCAGACCUCCAUAAAGAAAGGCCAUGGAGGCCGACACGGGUGUGCGGCCCGCAGCCCCAGCCGGCGUGGCCCUCCGCCUGCCAGCUCCCGAGAAAGACCGAAAUUCCAG